rnacentral:rRNA from 1 species
GACGAACGCUGGCGGCGUGCUUAACACAUGCAAGUCGAACGGACAGGCCCUGCUUUUGUGGGGUUCUCGAUUGGCGCACGGGUGAGUAACACGUGUGUAUCCUGCCCUUGUCUUUGGGAUAACUUCUGGAAACUGGGGCUAAUACCCGAUAGGAUCUCCUGCUGCAUGGUGGGGGUUGGUAAGUUUCGGCUGUUGGGGAUGGACUCGCGGCUUAUCAGCUUGUUGGUGUGGUAGUGGCUUACCAAGGCUUUGACGGGUAGCCGGCCUGGGAGGGUGACCGGCGACAUUGGGACUGAGAUACGGAGCAGACUCCUACGGGAGGCAGCAGUGGGGAAUAUUGCACAAUGGGCGGAAGCCUGAUGCAGAAACGCCGCGUGCGGGAUGACGGCCUUCGGGUUGUAAACCGCUGUCGCCUGUGACGAAGCGUGAGUGACGGUAAUGGGUAAAGAAGCACCGGCUAACUACGUG